ACUAAACCACAACACCCAGCGCCACAUCCAGGCGCUCCUUAAACUGGUGACUCCACUACCUCCCUCGGCGACCUAUUCCAACGCCUGACCAUCGCACGGCAAAAGAGUCCAACCCGCGUCUCAUUACAGCCUCUUUUCACGGAGCUGUAGAGAACGGAAAAAAGGAGGGCACGGUAAUGCCCACAAGCCGCCAAGGCAGUAUCCUGCGACGAAAAGCGCUUUAAGGACAAGGCCUGUUUAAUGAAGCAAGGCUCGCCCUCACCUAUUGGAAACUGACACCACUGUGAGCAAGAAAUGGAAAUUCGGA